GGCACCCGCUGGCGGCCCCAGCCUCAGCCUCCAGCGACGUUUGCCUCCUGCGGCCGUCCCCAGGCAGAGCUGCGAUCCCACCGCCGGGGGUGCAGGGAGAGGGAAGAUCUGGCCUCCUUUGUCCUUUUGCGUGGGCUCUUCAGAGCGUGAGCGCCGGGAAGGGACUCCGGAGAAAAGCUUGGGGGGCUGCGUAUUGCUGCUCCCCAAGCUGGGCGUCAGGACCACCCCCUGCCGCCCCCACGGGCCUGACGGGAGAGGAGGGAGGGCUUGGGACGGUCGGCUCGCCGAGCCAACCAGGUGGAGCCUGAAGAGCUGUCCAUGGUGUCGACAGCCCAGCAAACGGCACCGAGUUCGUAGUCUGAGUGUCUGGGUAGGUAGCAGAAGAAAAACUAAUGCCUGCUCUGGGACAGUUCUGUUCGGUGCCUUUUCUUGUGUGUUCUGGAGCUCACAGGGUUCUAUCGAAGAGUGCUCAGGUGUAUACGAUGGAGAGUGGGACGUCACAAACCAGGAUCUCAAGGCUGAGCCCAACAAAACAUGGCUGUAGGGAGGCCACGACAGCUGUGGUUGUCACCGAUGGAUGAAUAGCUUUUGCCAACCGUGGAAUUUAGUAACUAAAGGCACCUAACCCCUUUAUCUCAUCCUCAUUUUUCAACAAAUCGUGCUUCCUGGCUAAUAUUAGCGUGUCCCAUAGAUUUAUUUCUGCUUCCAUUGAAUAGACCUAAUUAUGAGAAUGAAGUCAAAGCCAACAGGGCAGAAAGGAAUUGAAAACCUGAAGAACCCAGCACUCAAACUGUCUCCACUUGCCUUUGCUUUUUCUUUACCUCUUCUCCUUCUGGUUUUUAACAGCCAAAGCAGAAUUUAAAUUUGGUUAUGUUGCAAAAAUAAUUUCCCUCUUCAGGCCCUGUCAUGUGACUUGAUUUUUUCAUCCAUUUUAGAGAAGCUGUACCCACCCUGGUUUCAGGACACGGAACUAAAUUUAUUAGAAAAGAAGCCACUUCAAGUCAUGAAGGAGAAAUACAAAGAUUCUUGGAUUUAGUUCUAAGAACUAGAGGGGAUUUCUAUCUCAGUACUGUCUCAGAAAAAACUGUUGAUAUCAAAUGCGUUGCUUGAGAGGUACCUUUUUUUUUCCUCUCUUUUUUGAGACAGAGUCUCGCUCUGUCGCCCAGGCUAGAGUGCAGUGGCGCGAUCUCGGCUCACUGCAAGCUCCGCCUCCUGGGUUCACGCCAUUCUCCUGCCUCAGCCUCCCGAGUAGCUGGGAUUACAGGCACCCACCACCACGCCCGGCUAAUUUUUGUAUUUUUAGUAGAGACGGGGUUUCACCGUGUUAGCCAGGAUGGUCUUGAUCUCCUGACCUCGUGAUCCACCCGCCUCAGCCUCCCAAAGUGCUGGGAUUACAGGCGUGAGCCAUCGUGCCUGGCCGAGAGGUACCUUUUAUGACAACUGAAAUCAUUCAGUUUCAAGAGGAGUUGGGUACUGAAACCAAACUUGCUUACUCCAAAGCCCAGAAUCCUUUCCACCAUGCCUGUGUGUCUGUAAGGCUACACUAGAAACGCUUCCUUUCUUAUAGUGGGAAGCAUGGGUACUAAGCUCUUUUAGGAACAAGUGUUCUGCAUAUUCCUGGUUCCUUUUUAUUUUGGACUGAGGAGAUUUAGGUCAAAAUUUCUGGGUUCUGGGUUGAAAUUCCAGCUUCUUUCUUCAAAUUAAACUGGGGAGUAGCAAGACUUAUUCCUAGAUUUGUUAGAAGGCCACAACUUUUCCGCAUCUCAUUUUAGUCAUGAAAGAAACACAUGCCCAGAGUUUGAAAAACAUAAAGGCAAUUUGACUAGUGGCUUGAUUGGUUCUAUCUUCUUUUUCUUGUCCCUCUUUCCUGUUUAUACUUCUACUUUUGUUACAGCGUUUGACAAUAGUUGGAAAAUUUUUCACUGACCUUGAAAUGUCUUUGGGGUAGGGUGACUUAAAAUAUAGGUUAAGUGGCAUACACAAAUUUCUUAGUGAGAUCCUAAGGGCCUACAGAGACAGGCUGACACCAACUCAACCCUUGAAACUGCAAUGAAGAGCCUGUGGGAGGCUAAAAAAUGCUACUUCAAAAAGAUAUCCUUGUCUGUGAAUGUUAAUUUAGGUUAAUUUGCAGAUUUGAUUAAGGGUCUUGAGAUUAUUUUGAAUUAUCCAGGUGGGCCCUAGAGCCCUAGAUGCAAUCACAAGUGUCCUUAUAACAGGGAGGCAGAGGAAAAUUAAACACGCACACAGGAGAAAGAGAGAGAGAGAGAGAGAGAAAGGUGAUGUGAAGACAGCAGCAGAGAUUGGAGCGAUGUGGCCAUAGCCAAGCUGUCAGCAGCCGUCAGAAGUUGGAAGAGGCAAGGAAGGAUUUAAGCCUAGAGCCUUUGGAAGGAGCAUGGCCCUGUUGGUUCUGGCCUCCAGAACUGCGAGAAAAUGUAUUUUUAUUGUUUUAAACCACCCAGUUCAUGGUAAUUUGUAACACCAGCUACAAGAAAUUAACACAAGGCUGAUGUGACUUUCCAUCAGGAAAGAGACAGCCCCAGCCACGUGCCUUUCGUCAAGAUUGUAAGUUUCCUGAGGCCUUCCCACCCAUGCGGUACUAGUUUUAUUUGAGAAAAUGCCAUACCACUGAAGAAAAUUGCCUAACAGCUGGAAAGAAGAAAAAAAAUAGGAAAAAAUCUUCCUGUGACUUCCUACAACUUUUGGGAUAAGGACCAAAGUAUUUCAAAUGACCUACAAGAUCCUCUAUCAUCUGUACUAUGGACUGACUUGCUCACUCCAGCUGUCCUAUGCUUUCUUCAGCGCCUCCAGCGUAGCCUGCUCUCUUUCACCUCAGGGCUAACUCCUAUUUUUCCUCCAGGUCUAAUGAUCUACAUAUCACUUCCUCAGGGUGAAAGGAAAUCUUCUGGGACUGGCUGGUCAAGGUCUCUGUGCCCCUUGUCACAUGUUCCACAUUACCUUGAAUGUCCCCUUUCAUAACUCAUCACACCUGAGAUUACCUAUUUGUUGUCAACUGUGCUGGACUGUGAACCCCACAAAGAUUCCACUUCUAGCUUACUCAGUGCUAUAUCCCCAAACCUCAGAAGAGUAUCUGCUACAGCAGUCCUCCUUAUCUGUGGUUUCAGUCAGCUGUGGCAGGGUAUGAUAACAUAUUUUGAGAGAGAAAGAGAAACUACAUUCAUAUAACCUUUACCACAGUAUAUUAUUAAUAAUUGUUCUAUUAUUAGUUAUUAAUCUCUUACUGUGCCUAAUUUAUAAGGUAAACUUUAUCAUAGGUAUGUAUGUAGAGGAAAAAACAGUAUAUAUAGGGUUCGGUACUAUCUGUGGUUUCAGGUAGCCACUGGGCAUCUUAGAACAUAUACCCCAUGGAUACAGGGAGGACUACUGUAGUCUACUUGCUGAAAAAAUUAAUUGUGGCUUAGUCAGGCAUUUUGUUGAAUACGAUGGACCUUACUUUGGAACUCAGAAAUCACUUUCUCCUGUGAAAAUAUCAAACUUGAAUGAACUUUUGGAAUAAAAUUAUUUUGUAAAAUGGA
rnacentral:antisense_RNA from 1 species